rnacentral:rRNA from 1 species
GAUGAACGCUGGCGGCGUGCCUAAUACAUGCAAGUCGAGCGAACAGACGAGGAUCUUGCUCCUCUGACGUUAGCGGCGGACGUGUGAGUAACGCGUGUAUAACCUACCUGUAUGAGUGGUAUAACUUCGGGAAACCGGAGCUUAUACCGUAUAAUAUAUUGAACCGCAUGGUUGAAUAGUGAAAUUCGGUUUUUCUGUCACGUAUAGAUGGAUCUGCGCCGGAUUGGCUAGUUGGUAAGGUAACGGCUUACGAAGGGAACGAUGCGUAGACGACCUGAGAGGGUGGUAGGCCACAUGAGAACUGAGACACCGUCCAGGCGCCUGCGGGAGGGAGCAGUAGGGAAUCUUCCGCAGUAGGCGAAAGUCUGGCGGAGCGACGCCGCGUCAGAGAUAAAGGUCUUCGGAUCGUAAAACUCUGUUAUUAGGGAAGAACAAAUGUGUAAGUAACUAUGCACGUAUUGACGGUACCUAGUCAGAAAGCCCCGGCUAACUACGUG